rnacentral:lncRNA from 1 species
ACAAUAUUAAUUUAAAAUUACGGUAAAAAUCGAUAAACUUCAAAUUUUGAAUCCGAGACAUGUACACCAAUACCGAGAGGCAGAGGGGUUGGAAACAAACAAGAAAAUGAUAGUUAAAAUGCAACUCAUAAUACAUGAUAUUACAAACUUUAAUUUGAAUCAAAAUGAUACCAAGUACUAACAUGUUAGAAUUUAACACAAAUGUUAAACCCCGAAACCUUAGUCCCCCCCCCCCCCCCCAAAAAAAAAAAAAAUAAAGAUAAACAAUCUGAAAAAGAAAAGAGGAAGCAGCCAUAGACUAAGCAUCGUAGGGUGUUUCGUGCACGAUGGACCCCUUCAUUUCUUGUGCAAAUAGGGAUCUACGCCAAUAAAUUUGGGAUAUCGUUCGGCAUUAAUGUUGCUGGUCGUUUGGUCAUAGUACUCAACCGCUGCAGCUCCCGCUAACGCUGCAAGUGUAAGUGCCUGUGCGUGCAACCUAAAACAAUCAACAUUAACAACAAUCUUCUAAUAGCACGUAUAAUUUUUUUUCAAAAAAAACGUGAAGGAAACAUAUCAUCAAACAGGUACCUGGCAUGGAUGAGCCUAACGCUGGUUUUCAUGUUAGGUUUUGACCAAUUGUAAGCGAUCGAUCCCGUUAUUCCACUCAACCAUAGACAUCCUUUACGAAGCAGAAAUUUCAAACAUUAGCCGAACAGAAAAAUAGAAAUUUCCAGCAUUAAACAUAAAAUGGAUUAUCUAAGAGUUUACCGACGGUGCGAAGCUU